rnacentral:rRNA from 1 species
CGGCGGACGGGUGAGUAACACGUGGAUAACCUACCUAUAAGACUGGGAUAACUUCGGGAAACCGGGGCUAAUACCGGAUAAUAUAUUGAACCGCAUGGUUCAAUAGUGAAAGACGGUUUUGCUGUCACUUAUAGAUGGAUCCGCGCCGCAUUAGCUAGUUGGUAAGGUAACGGCUUACCAAGGCAACGAUGCGUAGCCGACCUGAGAGGGUGAUCGGCCACACUGGAACUGAGACACGGUCCAG